UAUACUAAGCAUAAUAAAACUUAACCUUUGCUCGUAUUCGGUGCUGUUAUUAUUGACAGUAUUAAAAAAAUUCACCAUAUUGAACUUUGAAGAAAUCGUGUUCUAUCAUUUUCCGACUGCUUCAUCUUAAUCAUCUCUAACGCGCUGCUAGGCAACUUCCCGUGAAUAUUCAGUAUCCGGUGUUCAACAAGAACAUUAUCAAUUCUUCCACUGCGACCAGGUUUUCUAUGAAGGGUUUUUAUUGAAAUGGAAGAUAUGCUACACGUUUGGGAACUGAAGUGGACGCAUAAUGAGAAGACCGAUGGAGUUAACGGAAAAGGAUGGAAAUCUCUUUUUUGGAAACCGAAUGAAAAUGUGGAGCCGACGACCAAACUUUCGCCAUACAUCUUUCUACGCAGUCCAUCCCAGAAGCUGAAUUAUUGGUUCUAGAUUUCGGCAAUUAUGAACGACGAGUUUCCAGCUACGCCAUGAAAGUCAUCUCGCUACCCACUGCAAAUCUACGGAAACGUUCACCCCACUAAAUCCUCAGGACUCCAUCCAGGAAAGAACUUAGCAGAAAAUGUGGAAACAUCAUGAUAUCCCCGGAAUCGUGUUUUCUAGAAUACUUUUACAUCUAGCGUCCUCAUACCAGCUUAACGAUGUGAUUUAUAAUGCUUUUGAAAGCAAGCAGCGAUAUAUAUUGUAUACGGCUCAAAAAAUAAUAAAGUAAAACAUAUUUAUUGA